rnacentral:misc_RNA from 1 species
GAUGAAGAACGCAGCGAAAUGCGAUAAGUAGUGUGAAUUGCAGAAUUCCGUGAAUCAUCGAAUCUUUGAACGCACAUUGCGCCUCCUGGUACUCCGGGGGGCAUGCCUGUCCGAGCGUCAUUAUAACCCUCUCAAGCCUAGCUUGGUAUUGGGUGCUUGUCCCGCCUCUCGCGCGGCGACUCACCUCAAAGUCAUUGGCAGCCCGCAUCUCGCCGGCCGUGAGCGCAGCACAGACGCGCUCUUGGCAACGACGGAUCGGCUCUCCAAAAGCUUAUUUCAACCACUGACCUCGGAUCAGGUAGGGAUACCCGCUGAACUUAAGCAUAUCAAUAAGCGGAGGA